GGUUCGAUCAUGGCUCAGAUUGAACGCUGGCGGGAUGCUUUACACAUGCAAAGUCGAACGGCGCACGGACUUUCGGGUCUGGUGGCGAGUGGCGAACGGGUGAGUAAUGUAUCGGAACGUGCCUAGUAGCGGGGAUAACUACGCGAAAGCGUAGCCACGGUCGCGCUAUCGCCCUCGGGGAAAGCGGGGACCUUCGGGCCUCGCACUAAUAGAGCGGCCGAUAUCGGAUUAGCUAGUUGGUGGGUAACGGCUCACCGGCAUAGACGAUCCAGCUGGUUUGAGAGGACGACCAGCCACACUGGGACUGAGACACGGCCCAGACUCCUACGGGAGGCAGCAGUGGGGAAUUUUGGACAAUGGGGAAACCCUGAUCCAGCCAUCCCGCGUGUGCGAUGAAGGCCUUCGGGUUGUAAAGCACUUUUGGCAGGGAAAGAAACGGCACGGGAUAAUACCCCGUGCAACUGACGGUACCUGCAGAAUAAGCACCGGCUAACUACGUUACCAGCAGCCGCGGUAAUACGUAGGUAAGCGUUAAUCGGAAUUACUGGGCGUAAAGCGUGCGCAGGCGGUUCGGAAAGAAAGAUGUGAAAUCCCAGAGCUUUGGAACUGCAUUUUUAACUACCGAGCUAGAGUGUGUCAGAGGGAGGUGGAAUUCCGCGUGUAGCAGUGAAAUGCGUAGAUAUGCGGAGGAACACCGAUGGCGAAGGCAGCUCUCCUGGGAUAACACUGACGCUCAUGCACGGCGUGGGGAGCAAACAGGAUUAGAUACCCUGGUGUCCACGCCCUAAACGAUGUCAACUAGCUGUUGGGGCCUUCGGGCCUUGGUAGCGCAGCUAACGCGUGAAGUUGACCGCCUGGGGAGUACGGUCGCAGAUUAAAACUCAAAGGAAUUGACGGGACCCGCACAAGCGGUGGAUGAUGUGGAUUAAUUCGAUGCAACGCGAAAACCUACCUACCCUUGACAUGUCUGGAAUCCCGAAGAGAUUUGGGAGUGCUCGCAAGAGAACCGGAACACAGGUGCUGCAUGGUUGCCGUCAGCUCGUGUCGUGAGAUGCUGGGUUAAGUCCCGCAACGAGCGCAACCCUUGUCAUUAGUUGCUACGAAAGGGCACUCUAAUGAGACUGCCGGUGACAAACCGGAGGGAAGGUGGCCGAUGUCGUCCUCAUGGCCUCUUAUGGGUAGGGCUUCACACGUCAUACAAUGGUCGGGACAGAGGGUCGCCAACCCGCGAGGGGGAGCCAACCAGAAACCGAUCGUAGUCCGGAUCGCAGUCUGCAACUCGGACUGCGUGAAGUCGGAACGGCGAAAAUCGCGGAUCAGCAUGUCGCGGUGAAUACGUUCCCGGGUCUUGUACACACCGCCCGUCACACCAUGGGAGUGGCUCACUGAAGAAGUAGUUAGCCUAACCGUAAGGAGGCGAUUACCACGGUAGGAUUCAUGACUGGGGUGAAGUCGUAACAAGGUAG
rnacentral:rRNA from 1 species